AUUGAACGCUGGCGGCAUGCUUUACACAUGCAAGUCGAGCGGCAGCGCGGGGGCAACCCUGGCGGCGAGCGGCGAACGGGUGAGUAAUGCAUCGGAACGUAUCCUCGAGUGGGGGAUAACCCAGCGAAAGUUGGGCUAAUACCGCAUGAGCUCUGAGGAGGAAAGCGGGGGACCUGCGAGGGCCUCGCGCUGGCGGAGCGGCCGAUGUCCGAUUAGCUAGUUGGUGGGGUAAAGGCUUACCAAGGCGACGAUCGGUAGCUGGUCUGAGAGGAUGAUCAGCCACACUGGGACUGAGACACGGCCCAGACUCCUACGGGAGGCAGCAGUGGGGAAUUUUGGACAAUGGGGGCAACCCUGAUCCAGCCAUGCCGCGUGAGUGAAGAAGGCCUUCGGGUUGUAAAGCUCUUUCGGACGGAACGAAAUGGGCGGGACUAAUACUCCUGUCUGAUGACGGUACCGGAAGAAGAAGCACCGGCUAACUACGUG
rnacentral:rRNA from 1 species